rnacentral:lncRNA from 1 species
UGCUUGCCAUAUCAGUUUUUAUUUAAUAAGUUUGUCAUAAUUUCAAGCUCUUCAUGUUUUCUAGUUUGAAUUGUUUUAUAUUUAGUAUUUUUUUGCCAUUUAAUACAGAUAUAAGAAGAAGUGAUAUGAAUGCCAAUGAGACAACUCUCUAUCCAAGUCACAAUUUGUAAAACGUAAACUAUCAUAGGCCAAAAGUACGACCUUUAACACUUAGACAUGAAACACUGAAUAGCAAGCUGUAAAGAGCACCAAAAUGACUAGUGUAAAACCAUUUAAACAGGAAGAUCAACAGUUCAAUCUACACAAAAACGAAAAACGAGAAACACUUAUGAACCACAAACAAUAACGACCGAACUACAGGUUCCGUACUCAGGACAGAC